ACUAUGGAGAGUACAAGGAACUAUGAGUAGAUACUAAGAUACAUAGUAUCGAAAAUAUACUCGUUGAAGUAGUAA
rnacentral:sRNA from 12 species